CGGGUGCACUGAUCCAGCCGGGUCUUUCCCUCUGUGGAACCCCAUGGCCUUCACUGGCUGUGGUGGGGAAACAGGACUUUUACUUUGAAAAAAUUAGAGUGCUCCAGGCAGGCCUAUGCUCGAAUACAUUAGCAUGGAAUAAUAGAAUAGGACGUGUGGUUCUAUUUUGUUGGUUUCUAGGACCGCCGUAAUGAUUAAUAGGGACAGUCGGGGGCAUCAGUAUUCAAUUGUCAGAGGUGAAAUUCUUGGAUCUAUUGAAGACUAACUACUGCGAAAGCAUUUGCCAAGGAUGUUUUCAUUGAUAAGGAACGAAAGUUAGGGGAUCGAAGACGAUCAGAUACCGUCGUAGUCUUAACUAUAAACUAUGCCGACUAGGGAUCGGACGAUGUUAUUCUUUGACGCGUUCGGCACCUUUCGAGAAAUCAAAGUGCUUGGGCUCCAGGGGGAGUAUGGUCGCAAGGCUGAAACUUAAAGAAAUUGACGGAAGGGCACCACCAGGGGUGGAACCUGCGGCUUAAUUUGACUCAACACGGGGAAACUCACCAGGUCCAGACACAGUGAGGAUUGACAGAUUGAGAGCUCUUUCUUGAUUCUGUGGGUGGUGGUGCAUGGCCGUUCUUAGUUGGUGGAGUGAUUUGUCUGCUUAAUUGCGAUAACGAACGAGACCUUAACCUGCUAAAUAGCCCGUACUGCUUUGGCAGUUCGCCGGCUUCUUAGAGGGACUAUCGG
rnacentral:rRNA from 1 species